rnacentral:rRNA from 1 species
AGAGUUUGAUCAUGGCUCAGAACGAACGCUGGCGGCAUGCUUAACACAUGCAAGUCGAACGCCCGGUUUCGGCCGGGAGUGGCGCACGGGUGAGUAGCGCGUGGGAACCUGCCCUUCAGUGGGGGAUAACCGAGGGAAACUUCGGCUAAUACCGCAUGCGCCCGGGGAGACUCGGGGAAAGAUUUAUCGCUGAGGGAGGG